CCUACGGGAGGCAGCAGUAAGGAAUAUUGGUCAAUGGACGAAAGUCUGAACCAGCCAUGCCGCGUGAAGGAUUAAGGCCCUCUGGGUUGUAAACUUCUUUUAUCUGGGACGAAAAAAGGGUAUUCUUACUCACUUGACGGUACCAGAGGAAUAAGCACCGGCUAACUCCGUGCCAGCAGCCGCGGUAAUACGGAGGGUGCAAGCGUUAUCCGGAUUUACUGGGUUUAAAGGGUGCGUAGGUGGGCUUGUAAGUCAGUGGUGAAAUCUCCGGGCUUAACCCGGAAACUGCCAUUGAUACUAUAGGUCUUGAAUUAUCUGGAGGUAAGCGGAAUAUGUCAUGUAGCGGUGAAAUGCUUAGAUAUGACCAUAGAACACCAAUUGCGAAGGCAGCUUUACUACGGAUAUAUUGACACUGAGGCACGAAAGCGUGGGGAUCAAACAGGAUUUAGAUACCCUGGUAGUCCAGCCCUAAACGAUGACUACUCGACACUCAGACGAUACUACUGUUGGUUGUCGU
rnacentral:rRNA from 1 species